UCAUUAAUUCGUAGAAAUCUUGAGAGAGUGGUGGCAAUAAAAUUAUGAUUGGAUCACUCUAACUACUUGCCCUAUCUAUCUAUACAUACAUAUAUUAAAGCAAAGAAUUUUGGGGGAGUGUGUUCCCGCCAAUGCACACUUCAUUUUAUCCAGUGGGUAACUAUACUGCUGGUUGUCUGCUGGGCCUUGCACAGAUCGCUGGAUUUGGCUCCAAAAUAUGGAGCCCAAAUUCAAAUUUCAAAUCUGUCAAUUAUGGAGCCAAUUUGCCACACAUUCAAGUCAAAUAUCAGAUUAUUUCAUACAAGAAUUUGCCAAUGCAGACUUUCUCUCUCUACUUUUUUUUUAUUCGUUCUCUCUCUACUUUUGAUUGUUCUAAUUCUUUGUCAUGCAUUUUAAUUUUUAUGGUUUUUACAUUUUUAGGUAGUACAUUUAUGUUUAUUUAAUUUAGCAAUUAUUACAACACUUCUACUUGAUACAUAAAGCCUAAAUCUGAGAUAUUAAUUGCUAAUAUUUCUGAAAUUUCUCUCCAGGUGAAGACUUGAUGUCAAUGGAGCAUUGACGUGUUAUCUCUGAGAUCUGCAAAAGCCACAAAAAAUGGUGUUAGUGUAAUUUUGAUAUUAGCUAAACUGUUCUUUAUGAAUAUUUACAAUUCUCUUAAUGCAUUUGUGCAGAUAGCAAGGAGAAGAGAAAAACACAGUACAUUUGAAAAUUUAAAUUUAUAAAUGAAACAAGAUGUGUGAAUAUAUAAAACUGCUCUUUUUUGCCACGGUAUAAAAUUGCUCCUAAUGAUUCUUUCAUUUCAUGCAGGCAACACAUAGAAAAAUAAGAAAAUUAAAGUUUUUCUUGUGUGCAAUUGAAAACAGAUCAUGUAAAUAUACAAAANAAAAAAUCAGUAAUGCCACGAAACAAUGGUUUAUUGCUGAAUAAAUUUCUGCUAUGUAUUAUAGCCAUUUUACAUACUUUUUGGCAAUUUCUGCCAUGUGGGCAGCUGUAAUAAUAUUACAGCAUCGGCAGUUGCACGAAUUCAUAUCAAAUGAGCAUUUCAUAGCAAAGGCAAUAUUUUCAUGUUUUAUAGACUUUAUAACAAUGAUACAAAAAAGAUGUUGCAUGAAUUCAUAUCAAAUGCAGAUAUAUGCAGAUAAUUUCUAAUAAUGUUUCUAUAAUUUCUCCUUCGUCAAAAUAUGCGCAUUUGUUAUUAAAAAUCAGAAGAAGUCUAAUAUAAAAGAUGAUCAUACCUUUUUAUCAAGAAAAGCUGCUUGGCAGAGGACUUUCCUUCACCAAGAGGCGUCGGAGUGAUACCCCAACAAGCACAUAAUAUCCAUUUGUUGUAGAUAUUCGUAGAUCUACAUGCGAAAAAAAAUAAAGAUGUUCAUAGAUCUGCAAAAUUAAUAUGCGAAAAAUAGCAAUUCUCAAAAACGAAAAAACUAUGCAAAAAAAAAUAUCUUCCUCAAUAUUAAAAAAAAAGCUAAUCUGUAAAUAAAUAAAAAAUAAAAAAAAACUUUUCUUUUCAAAUGAUAUCCAGAUGAAUCAGAUCUACAAAAAUGAUGCUAUAAAAACAAAAAAAAAUUAAAAAUUAAAAAUCGCAAAACUAAUAAACGAAAAAAAAAGAUGAGGGAGAAGGCCGAGAUCUGGAGGGCGACGUCGUCGUUUGAAACCCGGACGGCGGCGGCUGGAAAUGGGCUGUGCAGAGGGAGGCGGCGGCGAAUUUAUUGUUGUUGAGGAGGGAGGCGCUAACGAGGCAAUGCCACCACAUCUUCGUACGGUGGUGGAGGAUCCCGCCUCUAAGGUUACAUCAUAUGAAACCGGAUGGCGGCGGCUGCGGGCUGUGCAGAGGGAAACGGCGGCGCAUUUAUCGUCGUCGAGAAGGGAGGCGACGACGCGUGGAGCGGUUGCCACUGCGUGGCUUGUGGAGAAGACUUGAAUUGUAGAAAGAUGUAUGGAUGGCUGGAUCUGCAAAGUGAGAACGGCGGGUCUAAUGAGAGAGAAUUUUGGGAGAAGUGGAGAACACUCUAGAAUUCAAAGGCAGCGGCUGAAACCCUAAAAAUAAAGGGUUAAUUGCCGGAAAAACCAUAUACUUUUUCAAAAUUUGGUUUUUUCCCAUGACAAAAAAAACCUGAACAGAAAUCCAUAAAUUGAACAACUUAUUGCAUAUUUCCCCCGCGUCCGUUUUCCGGCGAUCUCCGAUGGAGGUCCGAUCCAACGUGGCUGCCACCUAACCAUAAUUUUCCACCUCACCCUAACACCUAAUGUUCCACCUCACCUCAACCCAAAACCCUCACAGCAGCCCUAAGCAUCGAAAAUUCUCCAUCUUCUUGCCACGGCCUCGGCGAAUUUGAGGAUGUGCUUGGUGAUCCCGCAGGUGAGGCCGCGGAAGAGGGUCUCCGGAAUGGUGGGGUGGGCCGGGAAGACGGAAUCCAAGAGAUUCCGCUCGGCCGGAAACUGGUCCUUGGCGAAGGUGGUGAAUUCGGAUGAGAUCGGAGGUGAUGUCGGCGUCGUCGGCGGUGUAUUCCUCCAGCAGCACCUUCAAUUCCCCCUCCAAAUACGACAUGGCGCGCUGCACCACGCUACCGGCGCGGUUGAUCGUGUAGCCGUCCAUUUUCUCCUCCACGAGCAUCAGGAAUUUCUCCAUGACGAUGGGCGCGGCGUCGCCGCCCGACUCCAGCGACGAGAUGUAGCGGUCAAAAAAUCAUGAAACGACGUCGUUUAAUUGCCGGCGAUGACACGCUGGAAUUCCGAUUGCCACCUCGGAUUCAAUUUCGCCGGAAAACGGACGCUGGGGAAAUAUGCAAUAAGUUGUUGGAUUUAUGGAUUUCUGUUCGGGUUUUUUUUGUGAUGGGAAUAUUUGGAAUUUUGAAAAAGUAUAUGGUUUUUCCGGCAAUUAACCCAAAAAUAAAUGCCUCUCUGUAUUUAUAUUAUGU
rnacentral:lncRNA from 1 species